AACGAACGCUGGCGGCAGGCCUAACACAUGCAAGUCGAACGAAGGCCCGGAGCUUGCUCCGGUCACCUUAGUGGCAGACGGGAGAGUAACGCGUGGGAAUUUGCCCGAUAGUACGGAAUAACUGUUGGAAACGGCAGCUAAUACCGUAUACGCCCUCCGGGGGAAAGAUUUAUCGCUAUCGGAUAAGCCCGCGUUGGAUUAGCUUGUUGGUGGGGUAAGAGCUCACCAAGGCAACGAUCCGUAGCUGGUCUGAGAGGACGACCAGCCUCACUGGGACUGAGACACGGCCCAGACUCCUACGGGAGGCAGCAGUGGGGAAUAUUGGACAAUGGGCGCAAGCCUGAUCCAGCCAUGCCGCGUGAGUGAAGAAGGCCCUAGGGUUGUAAAACUCUUUCAGCAGGGAAGAUGAUGACGGUACCUGCAGAAGAAGCCCCGGCCAACUCCGUGCCAGCAGCCGCGGUAAUACGGAGGGGGCAAGCGUUGUUCGGAAUUACUGGGCGUAAAGCGCGCGUAGGCGGUUAGCAUAGUCAGGCGUGAAAUCCCGGGGCUCAACCUCGGAACUGCGCUUGAUACUGGUUAACUAGAGGUCUGGAGAGGGUAGUGGAAUUCCCAGUGUAGAGGUGAAAUUCGUAGAUAUUGGGAAGAACACCAGCGGCGAAGGCGGCUACCUGGACAGAUACUGACACUGAGGUGCGAAAACGUGGGGAGCGAACAGGAUUAGAUACCCUGGUAGUCCACGCCGUAAACGAUGAGUGCUAGAUGUCGGGGGACAUAGUCCUUCGGUGUCGCAGCUAACGCAUUAAGCACUCCGCCUGGGGAGUACGGUCGCAAGAUUA
rnacentral:rRNA from 1 species